rnacentral:rRNA from 1 species
GAUGAACGCUGGCGGCGUGCCUAAUACAUGCAAGUCGAGCGAAUGGAUUAAGAGCUUGCUCUUAUGAAGUUAGCGGCGGACGGGUGAGUAACACGUGGGUAACCUGCCCAUAAGACUGGGAUAACUCCGGGAAACCGGGGCUAAUACCGGAUAAUAUUUUGAACUGCUUGGUUCAAAAUUGAAAGCCGGCGUCGGCUGUCACUUAUGGAUGGACCCGGGUCGCAUUAGCUAGUUGGUGAGGUAACGGCUCACCAAGGCAACGAUGCGGAGCCGACCUGAGAGGGUGAUCGGCCACACUGGGACUGAGACACGGCCCAGACUCCUACGGGGGGCAGCAGUAGGGAAUCUUCCGCAAUGGACGAAAGUCUGACGGAGCAACGCCGCGUGAGUGAUGAAGGCUUUCGGGUCGUAAAACUCUGUUGUUAGGGAAGAACAAGUGCUAGUUGAAUAAGCUGGCACCUUGACGGUACCUAACCAGAAAGCCGCGGCUAACUACGUGCCAGCAGCCGCAGUAA